rnacentral:misc_RNA from 1 species
UUCGAGCGUCAUUACAACCCUCAAGCUCUGCUUGGUAUUGGGCGUCACCGUCUCCGGUGCGCCUUAAAAUCAGUGGCGGUGCCAUUAGGCUUCAAGCGUAGUAAUUCUUCUCGCUCUGGAGUUCUGGUGUAUGCUUGCCAACAACCCCUAAUUUUAUCAAGGUUGACCUCGGAUCAGGUAGGGAUACCCGCUGAACUUAA